rnacentral:rRNA from 1 species
AGUGAACGCUGGCGGUAGGCCUAACACAUGCAAGUCGAACGGCAGCACAGUAAGAGCUUGCUCUUACGGGUGGCGAGUGGCGGACGGGUGAGGAAUACAUCGGAAUCUACUUUUUCGUGGGGGAUAACGUAGGGAAACUUACGCUAAUACCGCAUACGACCUACGGGUGAAAGCAGGGGAUCUUCGGACCUUGCGCGAUUGAAUGAGCCGAUGUCGGAUUAGCUAGUUGGCGGGGUAAAGGCCCACCAAGGCGACGAUCCGUAGCUGGUCUGAGAGGAUGAUCAGCCACACUGGAACGGAGACACGGUCCAGACUCCUACGAGAGGCAGCAGUGGGGAAUAUUGGACAAAGGGCGCAAGCCUGAUCCAGCCAUACCGCGUGGGUGAAGAAGGCCUUCGGGUUGUAAAGCCCUUUUGUUGGGAAAGAAAAGCAGCAGGUUAAUACCCCGCUGUUCUGACGGUACCCAAAGAAUAAGCACCGGCUAACUUCGUG